CGUGGGAAGGUCACUUGAAGGCCCUGUAUUUGGGGAAGGGGUGUGGAGAGGCGGAGAGUGAGGGAGACACGAGAGAGGAGCUGCCUGGCACUGCCUAAGCUGUUGAGGGGGUCGCUGAGAGGGAACUUUCCCCAAAUCAUACGUCAAGGUGAGGAUUUGAACCUGUUCUCCUAACUCCAAAUCCAGCGCUCUUGCCUUUAUACCAUGUUGCCUCCCGACUGGCUAAAAGUGAACCAAGGAUUGUUAACCAGCUUGGACAAGAGUACUUAGAAAAGGAGGCAUGUAGUGAGAGAGAGAUACAACAGAUGGACAGUUGGAGUGGUGUUCUGGUACCUCCAAGGUACUAGAGGAGGACAUAGAAUCACAAACUCACAGAACCUCAGCAUUCAGAAGAAAGUACCUGUUCCAGAUAUUCUCCUUCACCUCACCCACUAAGAAGACAAGAAAUGCAAAAUCUGUUACAAAUAUAAAAUGAUGCAAAACAAAUUUCAGCGUUGUGUGA